CGGGGCGGGUGGCUGAAUGGUUAAUUGCGUGAGCUUUAAGCCAGUCGGCGCGGGUUCAAUCCCGGCUCGUGGCACAUCUGGCAAUGUGCCUGAAAAACCUAGCCCGGGUUGACCAAAGCCAUGUGAGGGAAAUUUGGUAGAGGAAACUAUGUCCUCGAUGGACUGUAUCUGCAUCUGCAAUGUUGCAGCCUUGUCACCCUGUGUCACGCUGAUAUCAGCGUUGUAGUUGCGUGACAGGUACGAGUGAUUUUAGUCUGAUCAGCUGCCUUCACUAUAAUUUCAGUGACCAGGAUAUUCCACUUCUGUGUGGAACCCUCAUACGUCGAAAUCGACGGAGUCCAUUUACUACUUAAAAAUAAUAAUCACCUUAAAGUGGUACUAAGACGAAAACUGAACGUUAAAAAAUCAUCGAUUUUAGCAUUCAAUAGUUUAAACACAUAUCAAUUAUUGCUUUCGUAAAAUUUAAGCAAAAAUAAUAGUAUAACGAGGGAGUUAUGAACAUUUGAAAUGUCUAAUUUUCAUGUCCGCCAUUAAAAUCGGCCAUUUUGAAUAUAUGCAAUCAGCAAAGGUCUGUGACGUCAUAUUCUUAACACGGCAAGAAGCGCACAUUGGAAAGUAUACAAAGUAAUACAUAAAUAGAGCAAAAAAAUGUCAAAUUCAUCGAGAUCUAGCUCGCUUUCUGAGUCUUCGAUCGAGACAAACGCAUCGAUUUCUUCAUCGGAAUUCAUGACGGCAAAUUCGGACGAAUCUAAUUCGGAAAUUUUGCCAUUUGCCGAUAAUAUUGAACCGCUUGCUUCGCCCGAUGAAAUUGCUGAGUACGAAGCUGCAGUUGCAGAAGAACGGCAGGUUGAGGACAUGCUGCAAGAUCGUUUUGAUGCCCGUGUUGAUGUUACUUCAUGGUGUGAAUGUGGCCAUUGCUCGUUGGAUCUUGUUGUCAACCCUCAAGAGUGCCGAUGCUGCAUGGAAUUAGAGCAAUGCCGUGGCAAAAUGAAUCAGUUCGAAGUCGAUGAAAGAAAAUGCAUUUUGGAUCACCCUGGCUUUAACGAAGUUUGCCUGAACGAAUUUGUUCUUCAAGCAGCUUCGUUAGGUUUAAAGACCAAAGGUCAUCGCAGUUAUGCGACCGUUUUUCGAGAUGGUCAAAAGACCAGAGAGGAGUUCUUUCGAGCAGUAUCGUACAGACAACUCGUGCGUCUUGUAUGGGACUUUACAGGCAGCUCCAGACAUUUGCCACUGCCUUGUUGUUGUUACAACAAAAUACGGACGACAUUUCCGAACAAUAAGUGUCUUCCUUACAAAGGAUUCGAAGAGGAUGAGGACAUAUAGCAAUGUAAAAAGAAAGCAUCAUGUGCAUUGGCUCUGGAGUGCUUUUUCCUUGGAGUCUUCAGCAAAGUGUCAUAAAUUUCUUCAACAUAUGCUUCAACAAAAUUGUUUACCUGCAAUACAUGCCAGAAUAAGAGAAAUGAAUCAUUUUUGGUGCGAAAUGAUUAACAACUGAAUGGUAUCCCUCCAAACAGCUGGUCUGGGCAACAGAAGAUGCUUGUUUGAUAGCUUUAACAAGUUUCUUUUUGGUCAUAGAAAUGCUGUUUUGGACAUGUUUCCCUCAAUUCUUUGCACAGUUUUGGACAUGUUUCCCUCAUCCAUUUGGCUAUGGUGGCAUGUCGAUCUGAUACGAAUGUUGUUAUUAUUAGGCCAGUUGUAAGGAGAAAUGACAUGGCCUUUUGGUGACCAAGAGCCUCCAUAGCUGAACUACUCCCUGCUUGGUUUGCCUUUGACAAAAAUAGAUUCCAAUAUCUUUUUUUGAUAAUUACGCCAAUAUAAAACAAUGGAAGGAAACAGAAAGUGUCUCUGGUGAUAAUAAUAUGCGACUUCACUGUAGCUGAUCAACCCCAUGUUCUUGAACACUUGAAGUACCUGUACAAUGCCAUUGGUUUAUGGAGUACUGAAUAUCUGUGAUUGAGAUGAUACAUUGCUACAUACUUCCUCACCUUUUUUACUGAAGCACCUGCACACAAAAUAGCAAAACUAAGCAAAAUAUUGCCAGCUGGAAACUAUCCAAAAAGAUAUGGUUGACUUUUCCAGGUGCAUCGGGCGUGAUCUGUUGGUCCUGUAAGAAUAUUGAGGAAUAGUUGUUUUACGAAGUGCACGUAUGUGUGAAGAGCAAUUGUUGGCUUUACGUAUGCAUCAUUCUCAGAUUUGUCUGGAAUUUCAGUUGUGCCUUUUCCUUUAUGAAAAUAGCACGAAUCUUCUUUCUUCAUGCAUGAUACAGACACUUCAUUUUGUAUUUCCUUUAAAACCUUAGUAUAAAUAUAUAUUAUAUAUUGAAAGUUUGC